rnacentral:rRNA from 1 species
UACGGAGGGUGCAAGCGUUGUUCGGAAUCAUUGGGCGUAAAGGGCGCGUAGGCGGCUGGAUAAGUCAGAUGUGAAAUCCCUGGGCUUAACCCAGGAAGUGCAUUUGAAACUGUCCGGCUUGAGUAAGGGAGAGGAAAGUGGAAUUCCUGGUGUAGAGGUGAAAUUCGUAGAUAUCAGGAGGAACACCGGUGGCGAAGGCGGCUUUCUGGCCCUAUACUGACGCUGAGGCGCGAAAGCGUGGGGAG